GGAGGAGAAGAUGAUCGAGGUGGUGCUGAACGACCGCCUGGGGAAGAAGGUGCGGGUGAAGUGCAACGAGGACGACACCAUCGGCGACCUCAAGAAGCUGGUGGCGGCGCAGACGGGGACGCGCCCCGAGAAGAUCCGCAUCCAGAAGUGGUACAACAUCUACAAGGACCACAUCACCCUCAAGGACUACGAGAUCCACGACGGGAUGGGGCUCGAGCUCUACUACAACUAGGCGCCCUGACCCACCCCGACCGUGCUGCGUGCCCCCCUACUGCUGUGAGGUAGCA
rnacentral:lncRNA from 1 species